rnacentral:rRNA from 1 species
AUGGCUACCACCACCAGCUCCACCGCCCUCCUCAUCGCCCUCGUCGUCCUGGCCGGCCUCGCCGACCUGCACGCCGCCACAGCCGACCCGAGGCCCGUCCACGCCGCGGAACUCUCGGUGCCGGCAUGGGCGGCCGGGCAGCCAAUGACGGCCCCGGAGCUGGAAGGGAUGAUGGAUUGCAUGAUGGGGUGCUGGACGACGGUGAUGGGCUGCGUAUUCGGGUGCAUGGCCAAGCCCCCCGCCGACAUGCCGGUCUGCUGGUUCAGCUGCGACCAGACCUACGUUAUGGGCAUGAUCAAAUGCGCCCUCACGCCCUCGCCGCCGGCACCGGCGCCACCCAAGCCGCCUGCCCCGCCCGCCCGGCCAUAA